AAUGAACGCUGGCGGCAGGCCUAACACAUGCAAGUCGAACGGGUCCUUCGGGACUAGUGGCGGACGGGUGAGUAACGCGUGGGAACGUGCCCCUUGGUACGGAAUAGCCCGGGAAACUGGGAGUAAUACCGUAUGUGGUCGAGAGACGAAAGAUUUAUCGCCAAGGGAUCGGCCCGCGUUGGAUUAGGUAGUUGGUGGGGUAAUGGCCUACCAAGCCGACGAUCCAUAGCUGGUUUGAGAGGAUGAUCAGCCACACUGGGACUGAGACACGGCCCAGACUCCUACGGGAGGCAGCAGUGGGGAAUCUUAGACAAUGGGGGAAACCCUGAUCUAGCCAUGCCGCGUGAUCGAUGAAGGCCUUAGGGUUGUAAAGAUCUUUCAGGUGGGAAGAUAAUGACUGUACCACCAGAAGAAGCCCCGGCUAACUCCGUGCCAGCAGCCGCGGUAAUGUACAGUGU
rnacentral:rRNA from 1 species